rnacentral:rRNA from 1 species
UACGAGGGGGGCGAGCGUUGUUCGGAAUUAUUGGGCGUAAAGCGUGCGCAGGCGGUUUGUUAAGUCCGUUGUGAAAGCCCCGAGCUCAACUUGGGAAUUGCAGUGGAUACUGGCAGGCUGGAGUACGGUAGAGGAAGGUGGAAUUCCCGGUGUAGCAGUGAAAUGCGUAGAUAUCGGGAGGAACUCCAGUGGCGAAGGCGGCCUUCUGGACCAGUACUGACGCUCAUGCACGAAAGCGUGGGGAGCAAACAGG